GAUGAACGCUGGCGGCGUGCCUAAUACAUGCAAGUCGAGCGAACAGAUGAGGAGCUUGCUCCUCUGACGUUAGCGGCGGACGGGUGAGUAACACGUGGAUAACCUACCUAUAAGACUGGGAUAACUUCGGGAAACCGGAGCUAAUACCGGAUAAUAUAUUGAACCGCAUGGUUCAAUAGUGAAAGACGGUUUUGCUGUCACUUAUAGAUGGAUCCGCGCCGCAUUAGCUAGUUGGUAAGGUAACGGCUUACCAAGGCAACGAUGCGUAGCCGACCUGAGAGGGGAAUCGCCCAAACUGGAACUGAGACACGGUCCAGACUCCUACGGGAGGCAGCAGUAGGGAAUCUUCCGCAAUGGGCGAAAGCCUGACGGAGCAACGCCGCGUGAGUGAUGAAGGUCUUCGGAUCGUAAAACUCUGUAUUAGGGAAGAACAAAUGUGUAAGUAACUAUGCACGUCUUGACGGUACCUAAUCAGAAAGCCACGGCUAACUACGUG
rnacentral:rRNA from 1 species